rnacentral:rRNA from 1 species
GAUGAACGCUGGCGGCGUGCCUAAUACAUGCAAGUCGAGCGAACAGACGAGGAGCUUGCUCCUCUGACGUUAGCGGCGGACGGGUGAGUAACACGUGGAUAACCUACCUAUAAGACUGGGAUAACUUCGGGAAACCGGAGCUAAUACCGGAUAAUAUAUUGAACCGCAUGGUUCAAUAGUGAAAGACGGUUUUGCUGUCGCUUAUAGAUGGAUCCGCGCCGCAUUAGCUAGUUGGUAAGGUAACGGCUUACCAGGGCAACGAUGCGUAGCCGACCUGAGAGGGUGAUCGGCCACACUGGAACUGAGACACGGUCCAGACUCCUACGGGAGGCAGCAGUAGGGAAUCUUCCGCAAUGGGCGAAAGCCUGACGGAGCAACGCCGCGUGAGUGAUGAAGGUCUUCGGAUCGUAAAACUCUGUUAUUAGGGAAGAACAAAUGUGUAAGUAACUAUGCACGUCUUGACGGUACCUAAUCAGAAAGCCACGGCUAACUACGUG